rnacentral:rRNA from 1 species
UACGUAUGGGGCAAGCGUUAUCCGGAUUUACUGGGUGUAAAGGGAGCGUAGGCGGCAGGGCAAGCCUGAUGUGAAAGCCCGGGGCUCAACCCCGGGACUGCAUUGGGAACUGCCCUGCUGGAGUGCCGGAGGGGCAGGCGGAAUUCCUAGUGUAGCGGUGAAAUGCGUAGAUAUUAGGAGGAACACCAGUGGCGAAGGCGGCUUACUGGACAGUAACUGACGUUGAGGCUCGAAAGCGUGGGGAGCAAACAGG